CUUAUCAAUAAUAGACAACUGGAAGGUAUACUUUGACGAGAGACUGACUCUGGUUGAGCAGGGACUGGUUUUCAGGUAUUCAGGUAGUUGCCUAAUGUGUCUAAAAUUAAAUAGGCAAUAAUUCUAAAACACCAAUAUCUAUUGACAUCAGUUGCAAAAUAGCUGAGAACAGAAGAGUUGUCAGGUUAGAACACUCUCCGGGCUACCUGACGUUAGAGCUAAUUGCAUUCACAGCCUCUUCAUUGCAGGAUGUGGGUUUUUGGGGAGGGGGGAGGUUGUUAGGUCUACAGAGAUCAGGCACCAAUUUGUAUUUUGCUAUAAAAAAGACAUGGGACUGUGGCAGGUGACAUCAGCGCUCCUGUGAAAAAGUAUAUCAGUGCUAUAGACUGAAGACUGAACCACAAUGGCCUGUGCCAUUUCAUCCAUGAGUGACAUCACUGAACAAGAGGAAGAGGAGACUGGGACACGCCAGCCAGUGAUUAGGCAGUACUGUGCCAGUGAGCAGGUACCUGGGAAGGAGCUCCCACUCCAAGACCUGCUGUGUAAACAGCCAGUGGCCAUGGGGGUUGUACAAUUAGCGGCUGGGAUGACAAGUUUUGGGUUUGGCGUUACCCUGGCAGUGACGUCACCCCUUUCUCUGGCUGUCCUACACAGGGUUCCAAUUCUUACAGGACUUCUGUAUAUCAUCUGUGGAUUGUUGUCUUCCCUACUAAACAGAUUUACCAGACUGUUGCCUAUUUGCUUCGUGGUAAACAUCGGCUGUCUGAGCGUCGCAGGAGUUGGGAUCGUGUUAUUGGCCAUUGACUUGUCUUUACCCACGGAUUCUGAGCGGGCGGUCGGACCGACGAAGGUUCUCAACUUGUGUGUGAUAGUGCUGAUGGCAUGUAUUUCUGCAUUGCUUGUGACAUGCUUAUGCAUCACGAAAUGCGCAGCAUGCGCAAGAAGUUCUGAUUUGCCCGUCUCUGCAUGGAAAUAAGCCGCAAUGACUGAACCAUUAAAAUAAACAUCCAGAUUAAGUUUAAACAAUGCAAUAUCUUUCAUAUUCACGUGAGCUCUGUGUUGUACUUUAAUGUAAAUUUGAACUUGCUCUCCAAACUAGAAAGGCAGUUCGAAGAAAUCAAGCCAUGCUUUUCCACUGUAUGCUCAAUUUUGUUAAAAAAUUCCAGCAGGAAAAAACUGCAUGACAUAAUGUGUACAAUGUAGACUAUUUUCCAGCAGCAACUAUUUGCAGUACAUUUACUAUUCAAGUGUGUUGUCUUUCUAAGGCUUUUAUUAUAGUUUUAAUAGUAUGCAUGCGUAAAAAAUAAACUGGAAAAGGUUG